CUGGCGUACCUUCUUGCCCCCCCCACGGCCCCCUCCCCCCAUGGGCCGCUGGUGGUGGUGGUGGUGGUGGUGUGUGGGCGUGGUGUGGGUCUGGCAGCUUCCAUACACUCACUCCCUCACCCUCGACGCCUAUUUCACGGUCCUGGCCGUCGCUGCGAAGAAGAGAGAGAUUCUACGCAAGAUAUUUUUUGGAUACGAUUUAGGGUUCAGUGCUUCCCCGUGGCUGUUCAGGGACCGCGUGGGGCCUCCAUUCGUCCCUAUCAUCACCACCUUCCCCAAGACAGGCCGCUACAGGAGUGAGGGGGCGCGUCACUACCACCCUGCCCCUUCCACACACUACAGACGAAGGCGCAGAAGGAGGAGAGUAACGGAACUACCAGCCACGCCCCGCCCUUUACUGUAGCCUGAAGUAAUCGUGCACAAGUGAAUACAAAGGAGGAACAAGUGUCUGCUAUCUCUUACAAGGCUCAUAGCAACGUGUCAUUAUCUGUAUUGACCCCCUCAGUAUCAUGACGCGUUUCCAUAUUCAUUCUGGUGACUAUUUGGUGAUUUUAUAGUUUCAGAAACUCAUGUGGGGGAUUAAAAUAGUGAAGAGUGUGACCAUUAACCUUCUGACCUCCAUAGACCCUUUCUCAUGUCAAUAAAAUGGUCUAAUGAUACAUAAUUCUAAAGGUAAAAAUGUGUUUCAGUAUUGAAGGGGUUAAGAGAGGAAGGUGAGGCAGAAAGAUGUGAGUUGCCGCUACGCCUCAUUUCUAUUACUGUAGCCUUGAGUACUCGUGCAGCAGUGAACAUAAAGGAAAGACAACUAGUAUUUUGAGGUUAUUAUUUAUGAAAGAGAGAGGCAGAUGGAAGGUAAAGAGUUGCUGUUACGCCUCCACCAUUACCGUUGUAGCCUUGAGUAAUCGUGCAGCAGUGAACACAAAGGAAGCACAAGAGGUAGAUAUAUUUUGACACUAUUUCUCUAUGUAAGAACUGGACAAACUACAAAAAUAAAGAAAAAAAAGACUCACCGAGGAUGUCCUUAA